AUAACUAUUUAGUUCGUAUAAAUCUUUCGCCUUUUACUAAAGAUUUCCUAAAGAAAUGAAAGUUAAGUUACAAAUGUUUGGUAACCAGUACCCUGCAUUCCAG
rnacentral:snRNA from 1 species